rnacentral:rRNA from 1 species
AUUGAACGCUGGCGGCAUGCCUAACACAUGCAAGUCGAACGGUAACAGGCCUUCGGGCGCUGACGAGUGGCGGACGGGUGAGUAAUACGUAGGAAUCUGCCCAGUAGCGGGGGACAACUUAGGGAAACUUAAGCUAAUACCGCAUACGCCCUACGGGGGAAAGCAGGGGAUCUUCGGACCUUGCACUAUUGGAUGAGCCUACGUCGGAUUAGCUUGUUGGUGAGGUAACGGCUCACCAAGGCGACGAUCCGUAGCUGGUCUGAGAGGACGAUCAGCCACACUGGGACUGAGACACGGCCCAGACUCCUACGGGAGGCAGCAGUGGGGAAUAUUGGACAAUGGGGGCAGCCCUGAUCCAGCAAUGCCGCGUGUGUGAAGAAGGCCUGCGGGUUGUAAAGCACUUUCGGUAGGGACGAAAAGACUGAGGGCUAAUAUCCUUCAGUCUUGACUUAACCUAAAGAAGAAGCACCGGCUAACUCCGUGCCAGCAGCCGCGGUAAUACGGGA